rnacentral:rRNA from 1 species
UAUGCGGCAGCUACCAUGCAGUCGGACGGUAGCACAGAGAGCUUGCUCUCGGGUGACGAGUGGCGGACGGGUGAGUAAUGUCUGGGGAUCUGCCCGAUAGAGGGGGAUAACCACUGGAAACGGUGGCUAAUACCGCAUAACGUCGCAAGACCAAAGAGGGGGACCUUCGGGCCUCUCACUAUCGGAUGAACCCAGAUGGGAUUAGCUAGUAGGCGGGGUAAUGGCCCACCUAGGCGACGAUCCCUAGCUGGUCUGAGAGGAUGACCAGCCACACUGGAACUGAGACACGGUCCAGACUCCUACGGGAGGCAGCAGUGGGGAAUAUUGCACAAUGGGCGCAAGCCUGAUGCAGCCAUGCCGCGUGUAUGAAGAAGGCCUUCGGGUUGUAAAGUACUUUCAGCGGGGAGGAAGGCGAUGCGGUUAAUAACCGCGUCGAUUGACGUUACCCGCAGAAGAAGCACCGGCUAACUCCGUGCCAGCAGCCGCGGUAAUACGGAGGGUGCAAGCGUUAAUCGGAAUUACUGGGCGUAAAGCGCACGCAGGCGGUCUGUUAAGUCAGAUGUGAAAUCCCCGGGCUUAACCUGGGAACUGCAUUUGAAACUGGCAGGCUUGAGUCUUGUAGAGGGGGGUAGAAUUCCAGGU